rnacentral:lncRNA from 1 species
UUUAAAGAAAAAAAAAAAAAAAUGGCACUCGAUUAACUGCAUUUUACAGCUCGCAGGACCUUGGUACAGCUUUGCAUUUAUUCGUGUGUUACUCUAGUUUACUGUAGUCCCACCCAAGUUCUUCUUUCAUCAACAUGCAAGCUCUUUCAUGCCACCAGGACCAAAGCCAGACAGGCAGAGGGAAAGGCAGCGCCUUCAUUCAGUGUCAGUAGUUCUCUCUAUUCUUUUGAUGUGAAAGGGGCAGUACAGUGCAUAAUUUGGAAGGGCAGAUUUCAUUACGAUUCACCCGCUUGCUUCUCCUGUUCAAUUGCUAAAAAGGGGGAAAAGAAAAAACAGAAAAGGAGCAAUAAAGAUCGUGAACCUGAAAAACGCACCCGCCGGACAGUUUCUAUGGCUCGUGAAGGGGGAUUUAUCAAAAUGGAAACCCAGAUGGAUCCUCACGAAGCGCUACCCGGUGCCGAGGGGGGGUUCGGGCUGGGCAGAGCCGCGCAUCCCCCCCCGCCCCGCCCGGCCCC